rnacentral:rRNA from 1 species
GUAGGGAAUUGUUCGCAAUGGGCGCAAGCCUGACGACGCAACGCCGCGUGGAGGAUGAAGACCUUCGGGUCGUAAACUCCUUUCGACCGAGAUGAAUACUCGCUGACCUAAUACGUCGGCGAGCUGACAGUAUCGAGGGAAGAAGCCCCGGCUAACUCCGUGCCAGCAGCCGCGGUAAUACGGGGGGGGCAAGCGUUGUUCGGAAUUACUGGGCGUAAAGGGUUCGUAGGUGGCCUGCUAAGUCAGACGUGAAAUCCCUCAGCUUAACUGGGGAACUGCGUCUGAGACUGGCGGGCUUGAGUGCAGGAGAGGAACGCGGAAUUCCAGGUGUAGCGGUGAAAUGCGUAGAUAUCUGGAGGAACACCGGUGGCGAAGGCGGCGUUCUGGACUGCUACUGACACUGAGGAACGAAAGCCAGGGGAGCAAACGGGAUUAGAUACCCCUGUAGUCC